GUGAGGAAUUUUCCGCAAUGGGCGAAAGCCUGACGGAGCAAUGCCGCGUGAAGGAUGAAGGCCUAUGGGUUGUAAACUUCUUUUCUCAGAAAAGAAUUAUGACGGUAUCUGAGGAAUAAGCAUCGGCUAACUCUGUGCCAGCAGCCGCGGUAAGACCGAGGAUGCAAGCGUUAUCCGGAAUGAUUGGGCGUAAAGCGUCUGUAGGUUGUUUAAAAAGUAUUCUGUCAAAGAUUAGGGCUUAACCCUAGAUAGGCAGAAUAAACUUUUAAGCUAGAGUUUGGUAGAGGCAGAGGGAAUUCCCGGUGGAGCGGUGAAAUGCGUAGAUAUCGGGAGGAACACCAAAGGCGAAGGCACUCUGCUGGGCCAAUACUAACACUGAGAGACGAAAGCGAGGGGAGCAAAUGGGAUUAGAUACCCCUGUAGUCC
rnacentral:rRNA from 1 species